rnacentral:rRNA from 1 species
AUUGAACGCUGGCGGCAGGCUUAACACAUGCAAGUCGACCGAGUGGCGGACGGGUGAGUAAUGCUUGGGAAACUGGCUGAUGGAGGGGGAUAACUACGGGAAACUGUAGCUAAUACCGCAUACCAUAGGAUGAGCCCAAGUGGGAUGAGGUGGUUGGUGGGGUAAAGGCUCACCAAGCCGACGAUCUCUAGCUGGUCUGAGAGGAUGACCAGCCAAACUGGAACUGAGACACGGCCCAGACUCCUACGGUAGGCAGCAGUGGGGAAUAUUGCGCAAUGGGGGCAACCUGACGCAGCCAUGCCGCGUGUAUGAAGAAGGCCUUCGGGUUGUAAAGUUCUUUCGGUAGCGAGGCGUUAACGACAGAAGAAGCACCGGCUAACUCCGUGCCAGCAGCCGCGGUAAUUC